GAUGAACGCUGGCGGCGUGCCUAAUACAUGCAAGUCGAGCGAACAGACGAGGAGUUUGCUCCUCUGACGUUAGCGGCGGACGGGUGAGUAACACGUGGAUAACCUACCUAUAAGACUGGGAUAACUUCGGGAAACCGGAGCUAAUACCGGAUAAUAUAUUGAACCGCAUGGUUCAAUAGUGAAAGACGGUUUUGCUGUCACUUAUAGAUGGAUCCGCGCCGCAUUAGCUAGUUGGUAAGGUAACGGCUUACCAAGGCAACGAUGCGUAGCCGACCUGAGAGGGUGAUCGGCCACACUGGAACUGAGACACGGUCCAGACUCCUACGGGAGGCAGCAGUAGGGAAUCUUCCGCAAUGGGCGAAAGCCUGACGGAGCAACGCCGCGUGAGUGAUGAAGGUCUUCGGAUCGUAAAACUCUGUUAUUAGGGAAGAACAAAUGUGUAAGUAACUAUGCACGUCUUGACGGUACCUAAUCAGAAGGCCACGGCUAACUACGU
rnacentral:rRNA from 1 species